rnacentral:rRNA from 1 species
CCUACGGGAGGCAGCAGUGAGGAAUAUUGGUCAAUGGCCGGGAGGCUGAACCAGCCAAGUCGCGUGAGGGAAGACGGCCCUACGGGUUGUAAACCUCUUUUGUCAGGGAGCAAGGUGCAGGUCGGGACCUGCUGCGAGAGUACCUGAAGAAAAAGCAUCGGCUAACUCCGUGCCAGCAGCCGCGGUAAUACGGAGGAGGCGAGCGUUAUCCGGAUUUAUUGGGUGUAAAGGGUGCGCAGGGGGAGGGGAAAGUCAGCGGUAAAAGCGGGGGGCUCAACCCCGCUCCGCCGUUGAAACUGUGGAACUUGAGUGCGCGAAGGGUAAGCGGAAUGCGUAGUGUAGCGGUGAAAUGCAUAGAUAUCAGGCAGAACACCAGUGGCGAAGGCAGCCUACCGGAGCGCAACUGACGCUCAGGCACGAAAGCGUGGGUAGCGAACAGGAUUAGAUACCCUUGUAGUC